GAUGAAGAACGCAGCGAAAUGCGAUACGUAAUGUGAAUUGCAAAUUCAGUGAAUCAUCGAGUCUUUGAACGCACAUUGCGCCCUCUGGUAUACCGGGGGGCAUGCCUGUCCGAGCGUCAUUGCUGCCCUCAAGCACGGCUUGUGUGUUGGGCCCCGUCCUCCGAUCCCGGGGGACGGGCCCGAAAGGCAGCGGCGGCACCGCGUCCGGUCCUCGAGCGUAUGGGGCUUUGUCACCCGCUCUGUAGGCCCGGCCGGCGCUUGCCGAUCAACCCAAAUUUUUAUCCAGGUUGACCUCGGAUCAGGUAGGGAUACCCGCUGAACUUAAGCAUAUCAAUAAGCGGAGGA
rnacentral:misc_RNA from 1 species